UGGAGGAAAGCAGGGGAUCGCAAGACCUUGCGCUUUUGGAGUGGCCGAUGCCUGAUUAGCUAGUUGGUGGGGUAAUGGCCUACCAAGGCGACGAUCAGUAGUUGGUCUGAGAGGACGACCAGCCACACUGGGACUGAGACACGGCCCAGACUCCUACGGGAGGUAGCAGUGGGGAAUUUUGGACAAUGGGCGAAAGCCUGAUCCAGCAAUGCCGCGUGAGUGAAGAAGGCCUUCGGGUUGUAAAGCUCUUUCAGUCGAGAAGAAAAGGUUGUGACUAAUAAUCACAACUCAUGACGGUAUCGACAGAAGAAGCACCGGCUAACUACGUGCCAGCAGCCGCGGUAAUACGUAGGGUGCGAGCGUUAAUCGGAAUUACUGGGCGUAAAGGGUGCGCAGGCGGCUUUGUAAGUCAGAUGUGA
rnacentral:rRNA from 1 species